GAGAGGGGGGGUGGGGGGAGGGGGGAGACAACAGAGAGUCGUUUCGGGUUCGGGGGAGAGAGCUUCGAGCUUCCCGUCCUUCGGAUCGCUUCUAUAGAGAGAGCUGGGAGGACUUGGUGAUCGACUGGGCGGCUUCGUUUCCUGAGCCGGCGCCGAUUUCGAGGGUUUCCUCGCUGACAUAGAUCUCAGAUGAUCGCGCUUGCUGCCAGUUUCUCAGCAGCUGAGGCGAAAGAGAAAUCCCGGUUUCCAUUACUAAGAGAGAGAAAAACAUCUCCUUUGGCCUAAAAAUAGGUUCAUCUGGGCGUGGCCUUGACUUCCUUAGAACUUGAAGAAGAGGAGAGAAAGAGAAGGAAAGAGAAGGAGAAGAUCUGAUCGUUUGAUUGAUGCGGGUGGGGGUGGAUCAGAUAUGGACAAGGAAAGAUCUCGGGAUUUGAUGAUGCGAGGCAGAAGCUCGGGGAGUCGUCGGCUCUCGCCCGCAAGGCGACACCCAAUGCGCUCCGCCUCUCCUAUCGUUUAUGAUAAAGGCGAUGGUGGGGAUAAGGGGGGAUAUGGGAGCGUGCCAUCGAGUUGGAAAAAAGAGAAGGUCAGGGUCUCGAGGUCGCGCAACAAUGAGGCAGAAGGCAAGGUGGGUGGUGCUGGGUCGGAGGGGGAGGAGGGGGAUCCUUUUCGUCCGCCACUUACGACCACCACCAACAGCGUGACUGCUCGGAAGAGAGUUAGGCUCCAUGGAAAGACAUCGGAGGAUUGCGAUGCUGUGGAUCCUGCAUCAGUGCCUAGAAAAUUACGGUCAGCUAUAAACAAACGCAGCAACCAAUCGGCAUCUCCACCAUUGCCAGAUACAAAGAAGAAACGCCAUUGUACCUCUAGCGAUGCCCAGCUGCCCUAUAUCGUUGAUGAGAAUAAGUCCGAGCAAAAUACGUUAACUAACUCCAUGACCAAAGAUGAGGAAGAGGUCGCUGAGACUUUGUUUUCAUUGGCCAAUAUGAUGCCUAUUUGCGAGCCAAUUGAGGACAACGAAGAACGAAAAACAUCAGAAGAUAUGUCAAACAUGAAUGCCACCAACGCUUCUCAUUCGGAAGCUUCGAAAGAAGAGGAUACAAAUAAUUCACAGCCAUGUGUUGCUAAUGAAGUGAUAGAUCUUGCUUCAUGUUUAGAGGAACCUGUUAGCGAAACUGCAAAGGGUGAACCUGCUUUGGAGCAUCCUGCCGUCAUCUCAGCAAGGCCAGCUAUUGAGCCAGAACCAAACAAGUCUGCUCAAUCUGAUGUUCAUGCAACUCUUCUUUUGUCUAAAAUUGAUCAUGCGGAGAGCCCAUCUUCUUCGAUGAAUGCUGCUAAUUCAUUAAAAUCUUUUGGAGCUUCAUCUCAGUAUUACUCUGGAAAUGGAUCGCUUCAACCAACACAACAUGAUGCCCUUCCAGCUCUUCCUACGCAAAAACCAGAUAUCGUGCUUUGGCCAUUUGGAUCCACUGGAUCUGCUGCAGUGAAACAUGAAGUGCAGGCAGAUGAGCAGAGAAUGGACACUGGUACAAAUGUUGGGCAUCGGGAAGAAAUUGAUCCUUCGGUGCGUCCUGGUUUGCUUAGUGUUACACAAGCACCUUUGACAAUGUUGCCUCCAAGUAAAACUGCAGCUUGGCCAGGAUCUGCUACUAGUACUGUUGGACUUAAUUCAUCUGGAAAUGGUAUUCCAACUGAAAAGCAUCCGGCAAUGCAUCUUAAUGUGUUGUCGUUACGGAAGAAGUGCACUGCUCAUGUGUACUUAACCCAUCUCAUCCGGCACCAUCAGAACAUGGAGAGGGAGAGCUCGCUGUCAAAAUCCAAGGAGGGAUCAAAUAUGGGUGCACCAGCAGCAGCCAACAAGACAGCUGGGCUAAGAAAUGGGCUGAUGAACUGCAUGGCUUCUGCUGGAACCAACGGUUUCUUGAUGGAGACGAAUGCACGCGAAGCCAGAAUUCAAAUGUUACGUAGUGAAAAGCUUCUCCAAGCUCAGCAGGCUUCCACAUCAUCUGAAACCUAUGCUCCACAGAAGCAGACUGGUGAUUUCCUAUCCUUGUCGGCUGGUGGCGAAACUAGUAAUUCUGGAAAUCGGGUCGAGUUAUCCGGGCAGCCUCAUUUUCCUUUCAUGCAUCCACAGGCCCCACACCAUUCUGUCAUGCCCUUAGGUUUCCCUCAUGUUCCUCACAUGACACCUUAUCCAGAAAAGCUAUCAUCUGCAGCUGCUCAACAGUUGCAGUUGCAGGUACCGCAGUACAUGGGCAGCACAUUCUAUGGGCCACAGAUGGUCCAUGCAGGAGGCACGAGGCCACCACAGCAACAACAUCAGCAGCCGAUGUGGCCCACCUAUUUGGCCCACUAUAGGCCCCCAAUGGGUGUCCCAGUGUGGCAGAAUGGGAGGCUGCAUGGCAUGUCCCGUCAGCUUCGCCUCUGUCCUCCGGCUUCAGCACCAAUCUCUCCUUCCCCUGCUGUAGAGGCGCAUGCUGGAGCCCAUCACCCACUCAACCCACCACAACAGCACCACCUUCAUGCUAAUCCCUCGUCGUCGUCGUCGUCAUCUAGGACAAGGCAUCAUCACCUCAAUGGUCUCCUGAAUAAUGGCGGAUUCCGUCUCGAAGUUACAUCACCGUUGCAGCUGCUUUGCAAUGCGCAACGCUCCUGAAAACCUGGAUGAUAAGAUGGAUGAGGCUGGUCUGUCACAUGUGUUCGUCUCUGGAUCAUACUUGUUGCUGCAUUCUCACCACCAUUUCGGCGGCCUGAAGAUGGUCAUUCUAUGGAUCUGGCUGCUCGAGAUAAUUGCGGACGACUCAGGUUCUAUUGGAUAAAUAAGACAGGUAAGUAGAACAAUCUUCGGAUCCUCUUUCAGCAUGUUGAGAUGCAGUGUGAUGAUGUGCCAUGGCAACAAGGCUGAAAGCUGUGGACAGUUAGAUAUCUUGGUCAAUGGCUGUAGUUGUUGGAGUUCAUUGCGCUUCCUGAACUCCCAUUGUCCUUAUAGCAGUCCGAGUCUUGCUUCCCUAUAAUGGUGAAGCAAGAGGUUGAACUUCUAUAGUUUCAUAUAAACCCGAACUACCCUUGUGCCAUGGGAACCUGGAGGCCAUUGGUGCUGCUGUUUUAUUUUCCAGCAGAGCCGGGCGCUGUUCAUUGGGUAGCGUAGAUAAAAACACUCCAGAGAUGUGCCCCCUUCCAUCAGAGAAGAAAAGAGGUUGUUCACCGGGUAGGGAAGAUGAAACACUCCAGAGAUAAGCCCCUUGCAUCAGAUGGUGUUUAUAUGCCGGUGACAAUCGAGUGCAAAUUGUUUUGUUGUUUAGAAAUGCAGUGCUUCUUCACUAGUAAUAAGAGGAAAGAAAGACAAAAUACAAAGCAAGUCCAGAAUGUAAUAUAGAUAAUGGUGUUCACCGGCCAAAAGCAGUCUUGUUUGAGAUUAUUAAAUAUCCCCACAGCAGUUCAGUUGGAAUUAAUCCAGUGGUUCUUUCAGGCACCAACACAUUUUGUGUGUGAGAGAGAGAAUGAGAGAGAGAGAGAGAGAGCACUUCAUAAAGGUUGGACAACUGAAUACAGAUAAAUAUGAAACACAAAGUACCACGUCAAGAAUUAGACGGCUUUGUUCAUGCAUUUUAUGGCUCUAUACCAGCAACAAAAGUGAUAAUACAUGCAAAGAAGAAAUCAAGGCAACGUUGACUGAUACAGCUUUCGUGAUAACAUUCAGGCGAGG